UUGCUGCCAAUUUGAUCAGACUCCUUUUUCCCUUUCUUUUUUAACUUUGCUCCCAACUUUCAUCAGACCCAUUCCAAAAUAUCUCUUCCUAUUUUUCCCCAAAUCUCAACCCUCAAUUUCCACUUCAGUUUUGUUCAGAUCCUUCGUCCGGAGCUUUCGUCCAGUGCUUUCGUUCCAUUGUGCUCGUCGGCUAGGUUGAGCAAAGUGUGGUCGCCCACCAGUUCAGCAAAGUAUGGUCGUCGGCCAGGUUCAGCAAAGUGUGGUCGUCGUGCGCAACCUAACUCGCGACCAGGUUUAAUUCUUCAACCUGGUAGUUCACAGAUUCAAACGUGCUUAUUAAUAAGCUGGUGUUAUAACUAAACUUGGGAGGCAUUGUGUUAUUACUGUGUUACUGAGUUGUUCUACUAUUUGGCUGCCAUCAAACUUUGGAAUCUCAUAGUUCUCAAGGAAUAAUUUUGAAUGGAUUAAUCUUGGCAACAAAAGUACAACAGUUUAGAAUCAGCGCUUAAAGCAUACAUGAUAAUGAAAUGAAGGAAGGAAAGAUUCAUGAUGAAUUUACCUCAUUCUUUGAUUCUCAACUUCAAGAAGGUGGUGAUGCAAAUGAGCCCAAGUCUUCUUUGGGUGGUACAAUAGGAUCAUUUGGUGCUAGAAACAUUUAGAAAGUUUAUGAUGUCUUUUAGGAUGAAACUAUAUUUAGCCUAUGGAUUUUGAGUAAUUGAGUUUAGUUGUAAUUACGAUUCAAUUUAACUUACUUUUAUAUACUAUGGUGUUUUUGAGAAUUGAAUGUUUUAAUGAUAUAUAAUUCAAGACUUUGGUAAAA